rnacentral:rRNA from 1 species
GGGGGGGGGGGGCGGGGGGGCUGGUGGAGGCGAGGCGGGGGAACAGACGGGGCGCUUGCUCCGCUGACGGUAGCGGCUGGCCGGUGAGUAACACGGGGAUAACCUUCCUAUAAGACAGUGAUAUCUUCCGGAAAACGGAGCUCACACCUGGUAAUCUAUUGCUCCGCAUGGGUCAAUAGCGAAAUAAGGUUUUGCUGUCACUUUUACAUAUAUCCACGCCGCAUUAGCUAGUUAGUAACGUAACGGCUUACCAAGGCAACGAUGCGUAGCCGACAUGAGCGGGUGAUCGGCCACACUGGAACGGAGACACGGUCCAGACUCCUACGGGAGGCAGCAGGCGGGAAUCUUCCGCAAUGGGCGAAAGCCUGACGGAGCAACGCCGCGUGAGUGAUGACGGUCUUCGAAUCGUAAAACUCUGUUAUUAGGGAAGAACAAAUAUGUAAGUAACUAUGCACGUCUUGACGGUACCUAAUCAGAAAGCCACGGCUAGCUACGUG